UACGUAGGGUGCAAGCGUUGUCCGGAAUUAUUGGGCGUAAAGAGCUCGUAGGCGGUUUGUUGCGUCGGCUGUGAAAUCCCGAGGCUCAACCUCGGGUCUGCAGUCGAUACGAGCAAACUAGAGUGUUGCAGGGGAGACUGGAAUUCCUGGUGUAGCGGUGAAAUGCGCAGAUAUCAGGAGGAACACCGGUGGCGAAGGCGGCAUCCUGGACCGACAUUGGCGCUGAGGAGCGAAAGCCAGGGGAGCAAACGGG
rnacentral:rRNA from 1 species